rnacentral:rRNA from 1 species
GGCGAACGGGUGAGUAACACGUGAGAAAUCUGCCCCUGACUCUGGGAUAACUGCGGGAAACUGUAGCUAAUACCGGAUACUUUCCCUGGUGGGCAUCCACUGGGGAAGAAAGAAUUUCGGUCAGGGAGGAUCUCGCGGCCUAUCAGCUAGUUGGUGAGGUAACGGCUCACCAAGGCGACNACGGGUAACCGGCCUGAGAGGGUGACCGGUCACACUGGGACUGAGACACGGCCCACACUCCUACGGGAGGCANCAGUGGGGAAUAUUGCACAAUGGGCGCAAGCCUGAUGCAGCAACGCCGCGUGAGGGAUGAAGGCCUUCGGGUUGUAAACCUCUUUUAGCAGGGAAGAAGCGAAAGUGACGGUACCUGCAGAAAAAGCACCGGCUAACUACGUGCCAGCAGCCGCGGUAAUACGUAGGGUGCAAGCGUUGUCCGGAAUUAUUGGGCGUAAAGAGCUC